rnacentral:rRNA from 1 species
CGCGUAGGCGGCAAGGCAAGUCAGAUGUGAAAUCCCCGGGCUCAACCUGGGAAUUGCAUCUGAAACUGCAGUGCUUGAGUCCUGGAGGGGGAUAGUGGAAUUCCCAGUGUAGCGGUGAAAUGCGUAGAUAUUGGGAGGAACACCUGCGGCGAAGGCGGCUAUCUGGACAGUGACUGACGCUGAUGCGCGAAAGCCAGGGGAGCGAACG